rnacentral:rRNA from 1 species
AGUGAACGCUGGCGGCACGCCUAAUACAUGCAAGUCGAACGAGAGGAAGGAAAGCUUGCUUUUCUGAAUCUAGUGGCGAACGGGUGAGUAACACGUAGGUAACCUGCCCAUGUGCCCGGGAUAACUUCUGGAAACGGAUGCUAAAACCGGAUAGGUAGCAGACAAGCAUUUGACUGCUAUUAAAGUGGCUAAGGCCAUGAACAUGGAUGGACCUGCGGUGCAUUAGCUAGUUGGUGAGGUAACGGCCCACCAAGGCGACGAUGCAUAGCCGGGCUGAGAGGGCGGACGGCCACAUUGGGACUGAGACACGGCCCAGACUCCUACGGGAGGCAGCAGUAGGGAAUUUUCGUCAAUGGGGGAACCCUGAACGAGCAAUGCCGCGUGAGUGAGGAAGGUCUUCGGAUCGUAAAGCUCUGUUGUAAGAGAAAAACGACAUUCAUAGGGAAUGAUGAGUGAGUGAUGGUAUCUUACCAGAAAGUCACGGCUAACUACGUGCCAGCCGCCGCAGUAA